rnacentral:lncRNA from 1 species
AGUCGAUGUCAUCAUAUCCAUAGGGCCUAAACUACCCCUACCCCUCCACCGCAUGCUUUCGUCUCUACAAGGUGCCUAUCGUCCCCGCUUAAGGUCCAAGAGGCAUUGGACUGCUAUUAGGAUGAAUUUAGACAAAAUAAAAUAUAAUAGGCCCACCUAGACACCAAGUCAAACAAAUAGGACCUUCAUUUAGCAUGUAAAAUCUCAAGUUGGCCUCUAGAUUUUAUUAAACAUGCUUUCAAACACACAUAAAGUGAAAGGUUUCAUGCUAGGCGUGUGGCAUACAAACAAAUAAUAUAAUAAUGUAGUUAAUUUAGAGGACAGGAAAUAUUACAAGUCGGGAAAAGCAUAUUAGACUGAUUUAAUUAGUAAUUAAUUUAAAAUGGGCACUUUAUAAUGAUGCAAAUGGGAAAAAGUAAUUGAAAGUAAUAGCAAAUUACUAAUGCUGAAAUUUAAAGGGGCAACAAUUUAUUAUAUGCUUGAAACGAUCAGUAGCUUAUUGGGUUGAAGAGUAAAUGAUUACGAUGCAGAAUUGACUAUGUUGAGCAAAUUAGUAUGCAUAGAGGGCAAUAUUGAUUUUAUCAUAUAAGUGUUAGAACUUAAUGCAUCACAAAAAAAACAGUAGCACCCAUAAAAAUGUAGUUUAGUGAUUUUACAUACUGAAAAUUAGUUAGUCUAUUCUAAGCGGCCACAAAAAUAAAUGAUAUAGCAGAACAACGUAUCACAGCAUGCUAUUUAGUUACUCAAUAUGCUGAAAUUAUUAAAACCUACAGACAUGCUAUCUAAAUGAUCAUGCUGAAAUUAUUAUCAAAACUAAAGUACUCUCUAUAUAAAGAUACAAUAAUAUUUAGAAACCUAUAGGCAUGAUUUCUAAGUGUGAAAAUUAAAAGUAUUAAAGCUCUUAUAGGCAUGAUUUCUAAACCCCAAUUAAUACAUAAAAAUAAAACUAAUCUUCAAUAGCGUGAAUUUAAAAUGCGAACACAUUGCAACAUUCCGAUUCUCUAGGUGCAAACAUGCUGAAAGUAAGACAUUUGAGAAAACCUAUAGGCAUGAACUCUACAAUCAUUAAAAUUAUUUGAUUAACUUACAUGCUGAAAAUUAUUGUCAAACAUAGACACAACUUCUAAAUAAGAUUUAAUACUAUUCAUAAACCUAUAGGCGUGG